AGAAUAUAUAAUAAAAUAUAUAUAAAUGUUAGUAUUAUACAAUUAAACAUAAUACAUAAUAUAAAUAAACAUCAAUAUAAAUUGAUUCAUUGAUUUUUUUGUCUGCUUACAAAUCGGAAAAAUAACGGAUCUUCACCGUUACGUUUCGUGAUUAUUAUGUGUGUUUACUUUCUCACAGGAUACCUGUGUAAUAUGGAAUUUACUUAUUCUUUUAUAAUUUGAAGGAUUUAUUUUUCAAACUUACAUGCUUGAUCAUGUUAAUGGAAAUACAUAUAUAGUUUGCUGUAGUCCCUUAGAAUUGACUGUACAGAUGUGAAGUUUUGGAUCAGCCAUGAUUGUUAUUAUUAAUAGGAAAUAUAUGCAAUGGUUUACUGUAUGAGCUGCACUAUUUCUAUUUUCUAAUUUGGACUCAAAACUAUGCACAUCAUUUAAAUACGACAUAUGAUCAUAUGUGCAGCUGCAUGUGUGAUUCUGGAUGUGUACACCUGUUGUCAAUUUACUAUUCAUUUUUGGUGUACAGAAGUGUGUUCUUUGCAUAUCUGUGUACAGUAGUAGUCAAAAUACUGUAUCACUAUCCUGUAAACACUGAGGAUGUGAACUCGAAUGCUUCACGGGGCAUGUAAACUCGACUCCGACCGUGAUUGACUAGGGUUGUCAGUUUUCCUACCAAAGGUCGGUGGUUCUCACCUGGAACUCCGGCUUCCUCCACCAAUAAAAACUGACCGCCACGAAAAAUUACGAUAGCGAUUAAAGUGGCUAAAAACACCAAGCAAUCAAUCAAUCAAUUCAAAAUCAAGAUGUCAAGAACAUUUACUUUUAAUUCUUUUAAUUGUAACCUGUACAAAAUGUCCGCACCAAAAAGUUAUCGCUUUAUCAUACAUGCCCAUUGCAAACCGUGUCAACAUUUCUACCAUCUCUAUUUUUGUUCUUCAUGUUCUUUAUGCUUUAGUUUAAAUAUACAGAGAAAAUGACAAACAUGACUAAAUGAGACGGAAAAUACCAAAGUGACAUUCAAACUUUUUGUUCGAGAUAAACUGAUAACACCACGACAAAAAAAAAGAGAAUAUCGACGAAGUGACAAACAAUUUCCAAAUACAAGGUAGUACGGUAACCUAUAUUUGCUGAAAUCUACGUCAUUUGGACUUCGUUGGGUAGUUUACUCAUUGGCAAUCAUACCACAUCUCCUUAACUUAAAUCAGAUGAAACUCAUUGAAAUUGUAUUUAUUGCCAAUUCAUCUAAAACAAUCUAAAAGCAUUAUUCUUUAAUGUGCUACAGCUGGUUAAUUUGUCGCCAAUAAACCACAUUUUGUUCAUGUCAGGUUGAAAGAUACUUCAGAUUUGUCAGCAAAUUAAGCAAAGGUAAGUAUAGUGGAUCAUUCAUUUGUUUAUUUCCUUAUCUAAUGAUGUUCCGAACUAUACGGAAAAAAAUUAAAUGAGGAGAGGGGUGUCUAAAACCUUUUUUUCUGAAGACACCACACGAAUCUAAAAAGAACUAGAACAGGUUAUAAGACCACCUUAGAACAUGUAUUGGUUCUAAUGUACACACACACAAAAAAACCAAAAACAUUCAUCUCAACAUUUUAAAUAAAUUUUAAAUAAACAAUAUUUAUUGUAGAUCCUUGAAUCUGACAAAAGUUUUAAAGGUAUAUUUGUGCAGCGUUCAAAUUUGUAUUUCUUCAAAUUUAAAUUUCACGUGUUUAUUUUCCAAUUAAGUAAUUUCAUGCGUUUUAUUGCAGCUUCUGGUGAUACGAGGCUUUUUAUAAGUUUUGAUUGAGUGAUACAUGAAUGGUCAGUCCAAAUUUUACGGACAUGAGUUGGUUGACUGCUGUAAAAUCACUGUUUUACAGUUGACAAAUGAUAUGUUCCAUUGUCGUAACCACAUCCGUCCUCUGUUCCUUGAAUUUGACCUAUCGAAUCAGACUUAUCCCCGAUGUAGUACUUAAAUGAGCAACACGACAGGUGCCACAUGUGGAGAAGAAACUGGUAACUCUUCAACAGCACCUGAUUGUUUGUACUUCAGUCUUUAGUUUUCCAUGUUGUGCUUAGAUGUACUGUUGUUAUGUAUCUUUCGCCUUUCUUUCGUGGCCAAUUCUGUUUAUAUAUAGUCCUCAACGUAAUCCUUGUUUUUAUUUAAACGAAUAUUGAAUAGGACUAAAUAUAAAAUACUGUUUUACAUUUUCACAAAACAUAAUGUACGCCAAUUAUUACAAAUUGAUAGUAGGAUAUAUUCUCGGAAAUGAAAAGUGUAGGCAGGAAAUUUGGAAAAAUGUAAAAUGAUAAUGUUAUUUUCCUUUUUUCAAAUUACUUAACUUUUAUUUCAGUUACACAAUGAAAGCAGUUGUCUAUUUUUUAUUCCCCCUUAAACUUUGACAUGAACUAUUAAAAUAUGUAAAUAUAGAUUCCACCACUAUAUCGAGGGUGAUACGACAUUUAUCCACUCAAGACAGUCAAAUUUUCAAAUUCAAACGCGAGGCUAGCCGAGCGUUUUAAAUAUUUAAAUUUAACUGUCGAGAGUGGAUAAAUAUCGUAUUGCGCAAGAUUUGGUUGUGGAAUCUGUUUCUCUAAUGAUUUUUAAACGGUAUGCAGACAAAUUAAAUCCUACCUUUUGAAUGAUCUACAAAAAAAGAUGUGUUCUUUCGAUGUUGCGUCAUCAGGCAUGGUCGCUAUUUUCAUGACGUCACAAUAGGAAAUUCAGAGGAUAGCAAGAAAAUUUGACGUCAUAAUCAAAUUAUGACCAAUAAAGAACUAAGAUCAAACAAACCACACGUUGAUUGAAUAAAUAUAAUCAACAGGUCAGGAAAAGGAUGUUUCGUAUAAGAAUUAGAGAAAGCAAAAUAUACCAUCAUGACUCACUUUUCGAGAUAUUUUGAACGUGCCUAACUUGUUUCAUUUAAACACGGGAAAUUUCUGUUCUCAGUACUCUCCGAGAAAAAAAAUAACACAACUUUCUAACGGAACGAUAUAUUUUUUUCCGGUUUUGUGUUCCCUAAUUUAUAGGCCUUCAGCCAGUUCAUCAAAUGUACGUUUAAUUCGAUAAUUUUGUUUUUAAAUCAUACAAUAAAAUUUUGUAUUUGUAAUAAAUAGCCGUAGACGAUUUUCUUGCUAAUACAAAAGCAUUUAGAAAAAAAUAUACUGUUGAUUUUUUCUUGCAAUUUCGAUAUAACAUUCUCGAAGUGGUACGAAGUCGGUUCCAUUAAAAAGCAUAUAUUUUACGCUGAAGAUUCUGUUUUCCUUUUUUUGGCACUAAAUGACGAUGCAGCGUAUUCUUAAUGCAACAUCGUCGUGCCACUUUUCCUCUCGUACAUCAAAACGCUUUACGAGUUAGUGUCAUAUAUACUUAUUGAUGAUAGAAAAGAAAAUGGUCUUUAUUUGCCUCAAACUGUAUGCCCCUGUAGUAGAUUUUGCAUGAAUAUAUAUACUGAAUGUUCAAUUUGUAUUGCAAAUUCACGUAUUAAACCGAUUUUAUGACGAC